rnacentral:rRNA from 1 species
GACGAACGCUGGCGGCGUGCUUAACACAUGCAAGUCGAACGAAGUGGCGAACGGGUGAGUAACGCGUAAUCAACCUGCCCUUCAGAGGGGGACAACAGUUGGAAACGACUGCUAAUACCGCAUACGGAAGGCGGGGAAUGCGUCUGAUUAGCUGGUGGGGGGGGUAACGGCCGACCAAGGCGAUGAGAAGUAGCCGGGUGGGAGAGAUGGACUGCCAAAUGGGGACUGGGACACGGCCCAGAAUCCUACGGGAGGCAGCCGUGGGGAAUCUUCCGCAAUGGACGAAAGUCUGACGGAGCAACGCCGCGUGAGUGAUGACGGCCUUCGGGUUGUAAAGCUCUGUUAAUCGGGACGCGGUACCGGAAUAGAAAGCCACGGCUAACUACGUGCCAGCAGCCGCGGUAAUAC